rnacentral:rRNA from 1 species
GACGAACGCUGGCGGCGUGCCUAAUACAUGCAAGUCGAACGAGAGCGACCGGUGCUUGUACUGGUCAAUCUAGUGGCGAACGGGUGAGUAACACGUGGGUAACCUGCCCAUCAGAGGGGGAUAACAUCCGGAAACGGAUGCUAAAACCGCAUAGGUCCUUUAACCGCAUGGUUGAAGGAGGAAAAGAGGCGCAAGCUUCUGCUGAUGGAUGGACCCGCGGUGCAUUAGCUAGUUGGUGAGGUAACGGCUCACCAAGGCCGUGAUGCAUAGCCGACCUGAGAGGGUGAUCGGCCACAUUGGGACUGAGACACGGCCCAAACUCCUACGGGAGGCAGCAGUAGGGAAUCUUCCGCAAUGGACGCAAGUCUGACGGAGCAACGCCGCGUGAGUGAAGAAGGUUUUCGGAUCGUAAAACUCUGUUGUUAGAGAAGAAACAAAGUGCUAGAGUAA